rnacentral:rRNA from 1 species
UACGGAGGGAGCUAGCGUUGUUCGGAAUUACUGGGCGUAAAGCGCACGUAGGCGGCUUUGUAAGUUAGAGGUGAAAGCCUGGGGCUCAACCCCAGAAUUGCCUUUAAGACUGCAUCGCUUGAAUCCAGGAGAGGUGAGUGGAAUUCCGAGUGUAGAGGUGAAAUUCGUAGAUAUUCGGAAGAACACCAGUGGCGAAGGCGGCUCACUGGACUGGUAUUGACGCUGAGACACGAAAGCGUGGGGAGCAAACAGG